UCACUUUCCUGACCUGGAAGACGUGAUAAUGGUGGUGGUUUUCUCAGGGCGAGGCUCACGCAUUGCACUAGGGAUGUGCUGACUGACCUCUGUGAUUUCCACAAAUGUGGGAAACUUGCGUGCAUAAUUUGUGUUAGUGGAGGACUGUGUUCACACUCUCUUCUA